CGGCGGACGGGUGAGUAACGCGUGGGUAACCUACCCUGUACACACGGAUAACAUACCGAAAGGUAUGCUAAUACGGGAUAAUAUAUUUGAGAGGCAUCUCUUGAAUAUCAAAGGUGAGCCAGUACAGGAUGGACCCGCGUCUGAUUAGCUAGUUGGUAAGGUAACGGCUUACCAAGGCGACGAUCAGUAGCCGACCUGAGAGGGUGAUCGGCCACAUUGGAACUGAGACACGGUUCAA
rnacentral:rRNA from 1 species